rnacentral:sRNA from 1 species
UAGUCAUGAGUACCUGAAGGCCUUCAAGGUGGCCUACAGCCUUAAUGGACACGAAUUCGAUUUUCUCCAUGAUGUUAAUAAAAAACACAAGGAGUUUGUGGGUAACUGGAACAAAAACGCGGUGCAUGUCAACCUGUUUGAGACCCCUGUGGAGGCUCAGUACGUGAGGUUGUACCCCACGAGCUGCCACACGGCCUGUACUCUGCGCUUUGAGCUACUGGGCUGUGAGUUGAACGGUGAGUGCUGGGGGUGUGGGAAGGGGGGCACCGUGGGCCAAUCCUAGGAGGUAGCCCUCCCUGCUGCCUCUUUUCUCAGCCAAACUGAGCUGGGUAGGGCAGCAACAAGGCCCGGGGACCAGGCUUCACUCGGGAAACUCCAGGGGUCAGCUGGCCAUAGCAGUCUCACCCAGGUGUUUGCUGUCUGCCCACCCUUGACCCAGGGCAUUCUGGUUGAUAGAGAAAAAGACAUCAGUUUUCAAAGUAUUUUCCCUUCUUCUGGUUGGCUCCCCUCCUGUAGCUUCUAGAACAUGUAGCGUUAGGUGUGUUUGGCAGAUGUCAGCUUUACAAGGGCAGAGAAUUUGUCUGUUUUGUUUGCUUCGGUAUUCUC